UUCUUCUUUUGACCGCAGUAAGUGGAAAUCACAGGACUGGUUCCAGCAAAAGACUGAUUCUUUCGCUUUUACCUUAUCAAUGUUACUUUCAUCGCUUUAUUUUUAAACUUAGUGCUACCAGUUUCUUUGAAAAGAGGUUGGACGUUUACUUAUCUCCCCCUAAUUAGAUUUAAAACCGUAGAAAUCAUCUCUGUUGCACGGGCCCGUGGAGCCUGAUUUAAAUACUUUUGCUGCUUUGUGUCAGUGAGAAAUUAUAAUGAAGCCACGAAUACCCUAUUGACUGUAGAUUAGAGGAUUGCAACUAAUUGGUCAAUUGUCUAAUUGUUCUUUGUUAAUUAGCUGGCAGAGAGAAACAGAUGGAAUCAAUGAAUGACCGCUAGGGUUUCUUAUAAAUCAAUCCCUCCUUAAUCUGGUAAAGCCAGUGCGAUCAAAUUAACGGCGGUGCAAAUUACGCCUUGCAUCGGUUUAUAAGGGAUAAAAUGUUGAUUUUUCUAUUAUAUUGCAGAUCAUCUUCUAACCAGAAGCAUUCCAAUCUUCUGAAAUGACAAACUAUGUCUAGUCUCGAAGUAGUUACUCCAUUCCAUGUAGUACACCCCUGGCCGUACACCUAAUCCACAUUCUACCUGCUUUCUCCCACUGAAACAACAAUUCAAAUUUUCUUUGAAAAGUGCCGCUGUGUUUGUUCGGGCUGCUUAUCAACCAUUGUUCCCGAUUGCUGGAUGGACCAGGAGCCCAUGGAAUCUCGUUUUUCUAUGUCACCUCCGAUUAAAAUUAAAACUAAAGUUAGUGUAAAAUUUAAAUAAAGCAUGGUAUUGGGUUCGAAGAAGACGCUGUAAUUUCCAGAAGCAUAUGGACUCCAGAAAGAGUCAGGUCUCCAAGGAGCCAUAUGUUCUAGCAGUAGGUAAAUGGAUAAAAAACGCAAGAAAAUCCACCCAAAGACCCCCGACUUGGUCGCAUCUGAAGCAUCUAUUAAAAGAAAAGGAGAUCCAGUGAUAAAGCGUGGAGAAGACACUUCCGGUCCUUCAAGCCACACUGCUCAGCAACUCCACAGAUCUGACUGACUCUAACCUAAUUAUGGGACAAUUUACCAGUUAACCUACCCGGUAUGUCUAUGGACUGUGGGAGGAAACCGGAGUUCCCGGGGAAAACUCACACAUCCUUUGGGGAGGUUAUAUAGAGACUGCUUACAGAACAGUGCCAGAAUUGAACUUGGAAUGUCCUGAGCUGAAACAGCAUUGUGUUAACCACAAUGCUACCAUGAUGAUCAAUUAUCAUUGGUCUUCCACAUAAUUUGGUCUUCAUAGGUUUUAUUCUAUAAAAGAUAAUAAAAAAGAUCACUGUUCAAUAAUGUCUCAAACCUAUAUUGAAAGCAAUUUUAAGUGAAGACAAACUCAGAGCUAGCUAAAAGAUACUACACACAGUUCUAUGCUAUAAAGAUUUUAAAUGCGAAUAUUUGUUUCUAUUGCUCUUGAAUGGAAUAAUUCUCCUAAACUGCAAUCAAGUUAGUAAAAGUGGUUAUAUUUACAAAUAUUGCAAAUUUGUGUAUUAUUUUGAUGCACAUUACAAUCUGCAAUUCCUUUUA